CUCUAGACUUAAAUUUCUUAUUGAAUAAGGAUUAGAUCAAGUCAAUCAUUAACCUUGAACCUAACCUAAUUUCAUUUGGAUUUGGGUUUAAGAGGCACCACAUUGGAUGCCCCAAGAGGAUUAGAUCAAGCCAAUUAGGAGGUGCAAAGCCUUCCUUAUUUUUCUUUCUAGAAACUUCCUAUUUUGGUGUGGAAUAAAAAGUAGGAUGAGUGGGGCGCACGCUACCUUUGGAUGAGAUCUAGAGGGGGUGCACGCGUCCUCUUCUUUUGGAAAGUUCCAGGGGUGCACGCCCUUUGAAAUUACCAUGGAGAACGAGAGGGGCGCGCACCUCUCUCUCUUAUUUGCAUGGAGAGAAAGAGAGAGGGCAUGUGCCCCCUCUCUUGUGUACAUGAGAUGAGUUAGAGGGGCACCAAAGGUUGGCGCCCCUUUUGCUUUCCUUGUUGGGUGUGGGCCUUUCCAAUUGGGCUUGAUUUUCUUGAGAAGAAAAUCAUCAAAAGGAGAAAGAGACCUUAUG
rnacentral:lncRNA from 1 species